UCCUACGGGAGGCAGCAGUGGGGAAUAUUGCACAAUGGGGGAAACCCUGAUGCAGCCAUGCCGCGUGUGUGAAGAAGGCCUUCGGGUUGUAAAGCACUUUCAGCGAGGAGGAAAGGUUAAGUGUUAAUAGCGCUUAGCUGUGACGUUACUCGCAGAAGAAGCACCGGCUAACUUCGUGCCAGCAGCCGCGGUAAUACGAGGGGUGCAAGCGUUAAUCGGAAUUACUGGGCGUAGAGCGUACGCAGGCGGUUGAUUAAGCGAGAUGUGAAAGCCCCGGGCUUAACCUGGGAACUGCAUUUCGAACUGGUUAACUAGAGUCUUGUAGAGGGGGGUAGAAUUUCAGGUGUAGCGGUGAAAUGCGUAGAGAUCUGAAGGAAUACCGGUGGCGAAGGCGGCCCCCUGGACAAAGACUGACGCUCAGGUACGAAAGCGUGGGGAGCAAACAGGAUUAGAUACCCUGGUAGUCCACGCCGUAAACGAUGUCUACUCGGAAUUUGGUGUCUAGAACACUGGGUUCUCAAGCUAACGCAUUAAGUAGACCGCCUGGGGAGUACGGCCGCAAGGUUAAAACUCAAAUGAAUUGACGGA
rnacentral:rRNA from 1 species